ACUAAAUUUUGAACUGGUUUGUUAUGCAGCAAUAGAUAAACAGAGCAUCAUGAGCAAAGCCUUUGAUAUGACUUCAUGAUCGAGUGCCCUUCAAAAUCAGAAUUGUUAGUUAUGGAAACAGUACCGUAAAAUCCAGUUAUUCAGAACUCUUGGGGAAUAAGUCAUUGCAGAUGAUGGAAUGAUGGCACUUCAAAAGAUAGAGGUGAUCAAUCUUUUAAAUGAUCCUGGAAGUGUUGACAGAGAUACACACGAUACAGUUACAUAUGAACAGUCUCUAGCUCGAGCUCCCACCAUCACCAUAAGAAUAACACUCCCUUCUUUUUAUUCCUCAAGUACACCUUCCACCUCC